rnacentral:rRNA from 1 species
ACGGGAGGCAGCAGUAGGGAAUCUUCCACAAUGGGCGAAAGCCUGAUGGAGCAACGCCGCGUGAGUGAAGAAGGAUUUCGGUUCGUAAAACUCUGUUGUAAGGGAAGAACAAGUACAGUAGUAACUGGCUGUACCUUGACGGUACCUUAUUAGAAAGCCACGGCUAACUACGUGCCAGCAGCCGCGGUAAUACGUAGGUGGCAAGCGUUGUCCGGAAUUAUUGGGCGUAAAGCGCGCGCAGGUGGUUUCUUAAGUCUGAUGUGAAAGCCCACGGCUCAACCGCGGAGGGUCAUUGGAAACUGGGGGACUUGAGUGCAGAAGAGGAUAGUGGAAUUCCAAGUGUAGCGGUGAAAUGCGUAGAGAUUUGGAGGAACACCAGUGGCGAAGGCGACUAUCUGGUCUGUAACUGACACUGAGGCGCGAAAGCGUGGGGAGCAAACAGGAUUAGAUACCCUGGUAGUCCACGCCGUAAACGAUGAGUGCUAAGUGUUAGGGGGUUUCCACCCCUUAGUGCUGCAGCUAACGCAUUAAGCACUCCGCCUGGGGAGUACGGUCGCAAGACUGAAACUCAAAGGAAUUGAC